AAAUAAGAAGCAAUAAUUGCAUUUAGUUUCGACCUAAAAAUUUGAUUUAAAUUAAUCCUUAUUUA
rnacentral:tRNA from 1 species